GCGAGAGGGAGGGGGCAGGAGACCCGGGCGCGGGGGGGUGGGGGGGACGCUUCGGGGGUGGGGAGUGGGGAAGAACACCCACUUCAAGUCCUGCACGCCGCCGCUCGCUGGCAGCGCCGGCGGGCCCGGGGUGGCGUGUGUGUGUGUGUGUGUGUGUGUGUGUGUGUGUGUGUGUGUGAGUGUGUGUGUGUCUGGCGCGGUGAGGGCGCUGGAGGCGGCGGCGGGCAGGGCGGAGCGGAGCGGGGCGGCGGGGCGGGAGUUGGUCUUCGCAAAGCCGCUCCUCCGCUCCAGGAAGACUUCGCAAACGCCCGGAGAGCCCCGAGCUGCCUUAAUACCCAGCCGGAGGUCCGGUCGCUGCCGUGUUAGGCCCCCGCAGCCUGGCUGGGGGACCCCGCGACGUUGUCUGUCUGGGUCUGCGCGUGCCGAGCGCCGCGGCCACCCCCGAGCCCAGGGUUGUGGCUGGGAACCCCGGGCCCCGGCACCUUCCACCCGGGGCAGAACCUGGCGGAGACGCGGCCCUCCGUCUCGACGAGUUAGAAGCGAACAAAAAUGUUUAACACCUCGGCCCGGGCCUCCCCCCACCGUCACAGUCUCGCCCUCUCCUUUUCUUUUCUCCCCUUUCACUUCGCAGCUUCUGGAGGAGUCGGAGCCCGGAGCGGGGGCGCCGACGUAGGCGGUCUACCCCCCUUCCGCGGCUCGGAGACUCCCCAGUUUCUGUCCUGUGUCUGUCUCUCUCACUCCCAGUCUCCUUCUCAGUCUCUCUCUCGGUUCGCGGAAUAAAAAAGAUUGCAACAUCGAUAAUGAACUUCUGUAGCCUCAGUUUAUUAAGUACAGUGCCUGGCAUUCUUCGCUGAAAGUUGGCGGGUCUCUCAUUUAUAACAUUUUUGGCACCGCUGAAUGAAACAGAGGAGGCGAUAUUUCCUUUUAUAUAAAACGAUUACUUCACGGAAAAUGCUAUAUUGUUUAUUCCAAAGCUGCCUUUUAAAUUUCUAUUCUUUUCGCUUCUGGAGCCCGAAGAACAACAGACAGUGAAGUAUGCAGACAAAAUUCUUGGACAUUCGCAGGUCCCUGGGAUUUUGUUCUACGGAUUUCAAAUCCGCCCCUCUUCGCCCCCCACCCGCCUACCUCCCCUCUCCCCGCCAGACGCCCCCCCCCCCCCACGCCUCCUCUCGCCCUCCCACCCCCCAACUUCCACCACCCGCCUCCCACCCUCUCCACAACUGCAAAUAACUCAGUGAUAACAGAUUUUUUUCCACCAACUGCAGGAGAUAGUGCUAAUCUUUUAAUAAAAGAUCCCAUUACAAUGGGAUCUGUCUGGACAGACUAUAAUAGAUCCCGAAAUACAGCCGUGCUAAUAUUAGAAGACAGUUGUUUGGGUGCCUCUCAGACGGGCCCAAGCCCCCCUUUGAAAGUGGGCAUGAAUCACAAAGCCCCGCGGCCGCCGCACCUGCACUGCGCGCAUUCGGUGCAGCAGGCUGCUGCACCUUGGAUAGUAUUGAUCUGUUUGGGAGAAUGUCUGCCCCGAAUCGGCACAGAUCAGUCAUCAAGAUUCUUGUUGGCCUGGCAUAAUUUUCUAGCCAAUUGUAGGAAAUGAGACACAGGUCAAUAUGGUCUCAUCCGGGCCUCCUGUGAGCAUCAGCAAAAGAGUCAUCCAAUUUCUGGGGUAUGAAAUGGUAUCACACCUGUUUGGUGACAUCACAGAAAAACAGCUGCUAUUUCUUUUACUGUUUUUAUCUCCUAUAAAUGUUAAAUUUUGGGUUUGUAGAUGUCUAAAUGUCAAGGGGACAUUUUAAAAUAAAAGUGCCUUCUUUCA